rnacentral:pre_miRNA from 1 species
UGGAUAGAUUAUUGUAUUCAACUGUAUUCGAUUGUAUUCGCGGUGUGAAACAGGGAAUUACACUGUUUUUAAACGAAAAGUGAAUCAAUUAACAUAAUAGACUCCU